GAUGAACGCUAGCGGCGGGCCUAAUACAUGCAAGUUGAACGAGAUUGUUGGUAGCAAUACUGACAUGAAAGUGGCGCACGGGUGCGUAACACGUAUGUAACCUACCUUUAACUGGGGCAUAGCUUCGAGAAAUCGAAAUUAAUACCCCAUAACAUUUAGAAAAGGCAUCUUUUCUUUAUCAAAGUUCCGGCGGUUAAAGAUGGACAUGCGGUGCAUUAACUUGUUGGUGAGGUAACGGCUCACCAAGGCUACGAUGCAUAGGGGGUCUGAGAGGAUGGUCCCCCACACUGGUACUGAGACACGGACCAGACUCCUACGGGAGGCAGCAGUAGGGAAUAUUGGGCAAUGGACGAAAGUCUGACCCAGCCACGCCGCGUGAAGGAUGACUGCCCUAUGGGUUGUAAACUUCUUUUGUAUGGGAAGAAAAUUCCGAACGUGUUCGGAGCUGACGGUACCAUAAGAAUAAGCAUCGGCUAACUCCGUGCCAGCAGCCGC
rnacentral:rRNA from 1 species